rnacentral:rRNA from 1 species
UCUUAGACAAUGGCGCAAGCCUGAUCUAGCCAUGCCGCGUGUGUGAUGAAGGUCUUAGGAUCGUAAAGCACUUUCGCCAGGGAUGAUAAUGACAGUACCUGGUAAAGAAACCCCGGCUAACUCCGUGCCAGCAGCCGCGGUAAUACGGAGGGGGUUAGCGUUGUUCGGAAUUACUGGGCGUAAAGCGUACGUAGGCGGAUUGGAAAGUUGGGGGUGAAAUCCCAGGGCUCAACCCUGGAACUGCCUCCAAAACUAUCAGUCUAGAGUUCGAGAGAGGUGAGUGGAAUUCCAAGUGUAGAGGUGAAAUUCGUAGAUAUUUGGAGGAACACCAGUGGCGAAGGCGGCUCACUGGCUCGAUACUGACGCUGAGGUACGAAAGUGUGGGGAGCAAACAGGAUUAGAUACCCUGGUAGUCCACACCGUAAACGAUGAAUGCCAGUCGUCGGGCAGUAUACUGUUCGGUGACACACCUAACGGAUUAAGCAUUCCGCCUGGGGAGUACGGUCGCAAGAUUAAA